rnacentral:rRNA from 1 species
UACAGAGACUGCAAGCGUUGUUCGGAUUCAUUGGGCGUAAAGGGUGCGCAGGCGGUGUGUUAAGUCGGAUGUGAAAUCUCACAGCCUAACUGUGAUAGGUCAUUCGAAACUGGCAUGCUCGAGGACUGGAGAGGAGACUGGAAUGGUCGGUGUAGCGGUGAAAUGCGUAGAGAUCGACCAGAACACCGGUGGCGAAGGCGGGUCUCUGGACAGUUCCUGACGCUCAGGCACGAAAGCCAGGGGAGCAAACGGG